UUAGGGAGACCUACACCCCUUACAGUUCGAAAAGCAAACAGCUAUAUAGAACGUAAGUUGGUCUAACCUAGGUCGGUCGCAGACAUUUGCAUCAUGUAUUUUGAAAGCUUUCAAACUAUGAUUUGGUUCGUUUAUGGGCUAUUAGCUCAGGUGGUUAGAGCGCACCCCUGAUAAGGGUGAGGUCCCUGGUUCGAGUCCAGGAUGGCCCACCUGAAAGUAAUUAGUAAUUGCCAAUUCGCAAUUCGUAAUUAAAGACGAGUUAAGAGUUGUGAGUUAAGAAUUAUAAUCUGGGGGUUUAGCUCAGUUGGUAGAGCGCCUGCUUUGCAAGCAGGAUGUCAGCGGUUCGAGUCCGCUAACCUCCACCUGUGGCAAGAUUGCCAUUGAAAAAAAUAUUGAGAGUUCAGCAACAUGACUUAAGAGUCAGACUGCUGAGUUAGUCCUCAGCCAGAACCUUGAAAACUGCAUAGUAACGCAAAAUUAGCAGGCAGACACAGACAUUCUUAGUGAUGAGUGCCCAGUGCUGAGUAGUGAGUAAAAUCAGUGCGAAGUAACGAGGUAAUCAGAACUAACUAUUUGCUUUUGUGAAGGCAAGUUAUAAAAAGACCAAAUGUAUUGAGU
rnacentral:tRNA from 1 species